rfam:Triticum aestivum genome assembly, contig: Triticum_aestivum_CS42_TGACv1_scaffold_427270_5BS
GGAUGCGAUCAUACCAGCACUAAAGCACCGGAUCCCAUCAGAACUCCGAAGUUAAGCGUGCUUGGGUGAGAUUAGUACUAGGAUGGGUGACCUCCUGGGAAGUCCUCGUGUUGCAUUCU